rnacentral:rRNA from 1 species
UACGAAGGGGGCUAGCGUUGCUCGGAAUCACUGGGCGUAAAGCGCACGUAGCGGCUUUUUAAGUCAGGGGUGAAAUCCUGGAGCUCAACUCCAGAACUGCCUUUGAUACUGAGAGUCUUGAGUUCGGGAGAGGUGAGUGGAACUGCGAGUGUAGAGGUGAAAUUCGUAGAUAUUCGCAAGAACACCAGUGGCGAAGGCGGCUCACUGGCCCGAUACUGACGCUGAGGCACGAAAGCGUGGGGGAGCAAACAGG